UUCUAUUUAUUUACUUGAUCAUUAAACGCAUAUCGUUUUCCUAAAAUUUUGGAUUGUUAUUUAUCAUUUAUUAUUGUAUAUCUAACAAAUUUUUAAUGUUUGUAUUAAUUUACAUUUGAGAUAUUCAUACAAUCUGCGUUAAUAGAGGUUAAUAGUAAUUAAUCAUAAGGUUUUACUUGGCCUGAUACACAGUGUAAACUAACGGAUUCCCGUACUCAAUAAAAUAACAAUUUAUAACAUUAAUAGUUUUUAUCAUUUCGCAUCACAUCAGAAUGUCCAAACCAUGUGCAAUUCAGAAGCAGAUCGAAAAUUCCAACGAAAUAAUAGCUGACCUGCGUGAGCGAAUCCGGAAGAUGGAACGACGGCUCCAGGACCCACAAAUGCCGGAGGAUCGCCGCAAAGAGGUGGAAACCGAAAUCAUGGAAAUUAAGAAAAUGCUCGAAACCAACGAAGAAAUGCUGCACAAACUACACCGCGAAAAUUCCAAAUCUUUUGCCAUUGCGGCAUGCUUAUUUUCAUUUGCUUCUUGAUCUACGGUGUUUAUGUACUGGUGGAUGGAGCGUAAACAUUCCUAAAAGACAGUAUUGUCAAGACGAAUUUUUCUCUAAAUAAUUGAAAUAAAACACAAAAUUGUGAUAUUUUUCAUA